rnacentral:rRNA from 1 species
AUGAGGCCCCACAUAUGUGAAGCGGGCAAGCUGGUCUGCCAAAUAUUUGGCGAGUGCUUUAGCGCAAACGGCAUGCCCAGGCGUUGGCGAAAAUUACAUGGGAGCAUGAGGACUUGCUUUGGCGAACCAAAAUUUUGGCAUCUAUAUGCAAGCGGAAGGCAAAUCUCACAGACAAGUCACAAAAUUGGUAUGGCUAGUAUUGGUAGUAACCAGACACCUGAAGUCUUACCAAAGAUAAAAUUUACUUUCAAAGUCAAUUAUAUUGGCGUUGCAACAACUGGCAAUCCCUUGCAAGUUCAUAAAUUCAGUUACUUUAUUGACUGUCCCUAA